rnacentral:tRNA from 1 species
GCCCCGUAGGCGUAGUGGUUGCGCAGCGGUCUUGUAAACCGUCAGGCUAGGUUCGAUUCCUAGGCGGGGCU